rnacentral:lncRNA from 1 species
UUACGUAAAAAUAAAAUGAGCAAUAGAGAUAAAAAGAAUAAAAUACAAAAAAUGAAAAUAAUGUGCCUAAUUCCCUAUAUUCAAACAAAUGAAUAUUGAAAAGGAGAAAUAACAUUGAAAAAAAUAAGCCCAAAAAAUAAUAAUAAAGCUCCAGCCCAAAAAUAUUGAGCCCAUCUCAGCCUAGCUAUUUGAUUUUCUAAAUGAAGAAAAGAAAAAGAAGUGUUGCCGUGCGGAAUCGAACCCAAGGCGUCCAGGCAAGUUCUUGAACCCCCUUAACCACUGAGCCAGCCUCUUUACUUAUAUUAAGGGGGUUCAUUUUAAUAUAUAUACACAUGAAAACAGAAUUUGACCUUAUAUAUACGGUGUAAUUUUCCGACGAAGGGGGUUCGGGUGAACCCCCUUGCCACCAUGUAGAUCCGCCCCUG